UACGUAGGGUGCGAGCGUUAAUCGGAAUUACUGGGCGUAAAGCGUGCGCAGGCGGUGAUGUAAGACCGAUGUGAAAUCCCCGGGCUCAACCUGGGAACUGCAUCCGAGACUGCAUUGCUAGAGUAUGGGAGAGGGAAGCGGAAUUUCUGGUGUAGCAGUGAAAUGCGUAGAUAUCAGAAGGAACAUCAGUGGCGAAGGCGGCUUCCUGGACCAAUACUGACGAUCAGGUGCGAAAGCGUGGGGAGCAAACAGG
rnacentral:rRNA from 1 species